CCUACGGGAGGCUGCAGUGAGGAAUAUUGGUCAAUGGACGAGAGUCUGAACCAGCCAAGUAGCGUGAAGGAUGACUGCCCUAUGGGUUGUAAACUUCUUUUAUAUGGGAAUAAAACAGGGUAUGCAUACCCUCUCGUAUGUACCAUAUGAAUAAGGAUCGGCUAACUCCGUGCCAGCAGCCGCGGUAAUACGGAGGAUCCGAGCGUUAUCCGGAUUUAUUGGGUUUAAAGGGAGCGUAGGUGGAUUGUUAAGUCAGUUGUGAAAGUUUGCGGCGCAACCGUAAAAUUGCAGUUGAAACUGGAAGUCUUGAGUACAGUAGAGGUAGGCGGAAUUCGUGGUGUAGCGGUGAAAUGCUUAGAUAUCACGAAGAACUACGAUUGCGAAGGCAGCUCACUGGACUGCAACUGACACUGAUGCUCGAAAGUGUGGGUAUCAAACAGGAUUAGAUACCCUUGUAGUC
rnacentral:rRNA from 1 species